rnacentral:lncRNA from 1 species
GGAUAAGGAUUCGGUUAUGAGAGGAAUUAUCUGGUGUGGUGUCACUGGGAGAUGAUAAUGUGGGCGUACCCAAUAAGAAGAAUGACAUAUCUUAUCAGCUUGUGACGACUGGCCGGCUCAAUAGGCUUAUGACCCUAGGCCCAGGCCUAGGCCACUAGAGUUGAAGGGCCACCAAGUUUCUGUUAGGAUUUCUGUAUACUAGGCCCAGAUCAUACAUAUUUGAUACUGAUAACCCAGCCGCAUGCCAUAAGCGUGAAACCUCAAAGCGUGUGAACAACUAUUGAGUUAUCCAUCGAUAUUAGCGGCGUGAGUAAUGAAAUCGUUCGAUUAUCGGAGGCGUCGUUUGGGUUUCCUAUAUGGAAUCAAGCAAUCAGCGAGCGAUUAUAAUGGCAUCACAAUCUCAAUCAAAGACUCGAAGUAACAGGUAAUAUUUAGCAACGGCUAAUCGACUAUUUUAACUUUUUUACAUUCUAAUCACUAAACAGUCUGAUCGAUUUUGUGAACCCUCAAACAUAAAGUAAAUUCAGUUUGGUGAUUUGUCGAUUUUGCGAUUCGGUUUGAUUGAACCCAUGGAAGACACUCAGUUUGUUUGCGAUUUUGCGAUUUUGCGAAUCAGUUUGGUGCUUUGCGAUUUUGUGAUUCAGGUUAGACAUCCUCUGGUCCUCAUUUGUUAUUUAGGGAAUUAGGGUAUAUUUACCGAUUUGAUUUAAUUUAUUUACUUAGGGAAUUCAGUUUGUAUUUGCCAAUUUAGUUUGUUAUUACGCUUUUAGGGAAUUCGAUUUGUAUUUGCCAAUUCAGUUUGAUUAUCUUUGUUCAUCUCUUAAAUAGAUUCAAAUUUUAGCAAUGGCCAAUCGAAUCCGAACUAAGAGAAAUUAUACACGUAGAAUCUGACAGACAUAUUAAUAUUAAUUUGUAUUAAAAACUCUAAUUCUUUUCUAAAGGCAUAUAUUGCCUAUAGAAUUGUGUUAACCAUUCCUGUAACCGUUGCUACUGCAGAACGUAGCUUUUCCAAUUUGAAACUAGUAAAAAAUUACUUAAGAUUCACAAUGUCACAAGAAAGAUUAAACGGUUUAGCUCUUAUGUCUAUUGAAAAAUAUUUCUUAGAAGAAGUUGAUUACGACAAUUUCAUCAAAUAAUUUGCCUCAAUUAAAGCUGGAAAAAUAAAUUUUAUUUAAACAUAUACUAAAUCUAUAGAAAACAUAUA